ACAAAGGCCCUUUUUAGGGCCACACAAAUACAACUAAGCGCAAGA
rfam:Poecilia formosa, whole genome shotgun sequence.